rnacentral:snRNA from 1 species
UGACUCUCCUGGCUGGAGAGAUAACACUUUACCCUGACCCUUGCAAUUUCUCCAAAUAAGGGAAACUCAACUGCAUAAUUCUUGGUAGUGAGGAAAAGGGUUUGCUUUUCCCUCUA